UAGAGAAACCCAGGAUGUUUUCCUGGAGCUCUGCAGACUAGGAGCCCAGUUAGUUUAAGUGAAGUGGUCACCACGCUCUGUACGUGGUCACUCACAGCCCAGUUGUGUUCUUUCCAGCCUUGGGUCAUGGCUCCCUCCAUGACUCUGUGCUUAGAAAAAUCCAAGGCAGCGACCAUUUGUACCUUCUAACUAACUGUUGAGUUUUCUGACUACCACAAGCAGAGACCAUCCUGUCGCUGUGUGGGAGCAGCACCAGGUUCUUGGUGUGUGUGUGACAUGCCUGGAACUGCAUUUCUUCCAAGUUCUUAGGCAGUGUUAAAGCUGUCAGAGGACCACGUGGAGUGAAAGGGGUCGAUGUUCAAGGCAGCACCUUGAACAUGGCGAAUUCUCAGU